rnacentral:rRNA from 1 species
AACCUUUACACUGCACGACAGUGCGAUAGGGGGACUCCGAGUGUGAGGGCAUAUAGCCCUCGCUUUUCUGAACCGUAAGGUGGUUCAGGAACAAGGACUGGGCAAGACCGGUGCCAGCCGCCGCGGUAAUACCGGCAGUCCGAGUGAUGGCCGAUAUUAUUGGGCCUAAAGCGUUCGUAGCUGGCCGAUCAAGUCUGUCGGGAAAUCUGCUCGCCUAACGAGCAGGCGUCCGGCGGAAACUGAUCGGCUUGGGACCGGAAGACUCAAGGGGUACGUCCGGGGUAGGAGUGAAAUCCCGUAAUCCUGGACGGACCACCGAUGGCGAAAGCACCUCGAGAGCACGGAUCCGACAGUGAGGAACGAAAGCUGGGGUCUCGAACCGGAUUAGAUACCCGGGUAGUCCCAGCUGUCAACGAUGCCCGCUAGGUAUGGCGCAGGCUACGAGCCUGUGCUAUGCCGUAGCGAAGGCGCUAAGCGGGCCGCCUGGGAAGUACGUUCGCAAGAAUGAAACUUAA